rnacentral:rRNA from 1 species
UUAAGCUAUAAAGAGCGCAGGGUGGAUGCCUUGGCACUAAGAGCCGAUGAAAGACGUGAUAAGCUGCGAAAAGCUUCGGGGAGGAGCAAAUAUCCUUUGAUCCGGAGAUAUCUGAAUGGGGAAACCCGGCUGAGCAAACCUCAGUCACUGCAUGGUGAAUCCAUAGCCAUGCAGAGGGAACCCGGUGAACUGAAACAUCUAAGUAGCCGGAGGAAGAGAAAGAAACAUCGAUUCCCAAAGUAGCGGCGAGCGAAAUGGGAAGAGCCCAAACCAGCGUGCGUGCAUGCUGGGGUUAUGGACUGCAAACGUGAACCGAUUUGUUAGUGGAACUGUCUGGGAAGUCAGGCCAUAGAGGGUGAAAGCCCCGUACACGAAAACAAUAGGAAGCAGCAGGAUCCAGAGUACCACGAGACACGAGAAACCUUGUGGGAAGUCGGAGGGACCACCCUCCAAGGCUAAAUACUCCUUAGUGACCGAUAGCGCAUAGUACUGUGAAGGAAAGGUGAAAAGGACCCCGGGAGGGGAGUGAAAAAGAACCUGAAACCCUGUGUUUACAAGCUGUGGAAGCACGUUAAGGUGCGACCGCGUACUUUUUGUAGAACGGUCCGGCGAGUUGCCGGUACUGGCAAGGUUAAGAGCUGAAGGCUCGGAGCCGAAGGGAAACCAAGUCUCAAAUGGGCGUCAAGUCAGUACAGGCAGACCCGAAACCGGGUGACCUAUCCAUGUCCAGGUUGAAGCGGAAGUAAAAUUCCGUGGAGGACCGGAUCCACAUCCGUUGAAAAGGGUGGGAAUGAGGUGUGGAUAGGGGAGAAAUUCCAAUCGAACCCGGAGAUAGCUGGUUCUCCUCGAAAUAGCUUUAGGGCUAGCCUCAUAUUAGUUUAGCGGAGGUAGAGCACUGAAUUCCUAAGGGGGCGUCAAAGCUUACCAAGGGAUAUCAAACUCCGAAUGCCGCAUAAAUGAUGUAUGGGAGUCAGACUGCACGAGAUAAGUUGGGUAGUCAAAAGGGAAAGAGCCCAGACCUACAGCUAAGGUCCCAAAGUGUGUGUUAAGUGGAAAAGGAUGUGGGAUUUCAAAGACAACUAGGAUGUUGGCUCAGAAGCAGCCACACAUUCAAAGAGUGCGUAAUAGCUCACUAGUCGAGAGGUCCUGCGCCGAAAAUGUCCGGGGCUGAAACACAACACCGAAGCUUAGGAAUGUAUGUAAGUACAUUGGUAGAGGAGCAUUCUCAGGACGGAGAAGCGGUACCGAUAAGGAGCCGUGGAGUGCUGAGAAGAGAGAAUGCCGGAAUGAGUAGCGAGAUGGAGGUGGGAAUCCUCCAGGCCGAAUAUCCAAGGUUUCCAGAGUAAAGCUGAUCUGCUCUGGGUAAGUCGGGGCCUAAGGCGAGGCUGAGAGGCGUAGUCGAUGGACAACAGGUUGAAAUUCCUGUACCAUGUAUCAUCAGAACUGUGGGGACACAGAAGGACAACACAUCCCGGGAAUGGGAAUACCGGGGCAAGCGAGGUAGGAGUACGGUUGGCAAAUCCGCCGUGCAAUCCGAAGACGUGACGCGCAGCGAACUAAAGUAGCGAAGUGUGUGAUUCCGGCUGUCAAGAAAAGCCGCUAUUGUGUGAUACAUGCCCGUACCGUAAACCGACACAGGUAGAUGAGGAGAGAAUCCUAAGGCCGGCGGGAGAAGCAUUGUUAAGGAACUCGGCAAAAUGACCCCGUAACUUCGGGAGAAGGGGUGCCACAGAGAUGUGGCCGCAGAGAAUAGGCUCAAGCAACUGUUUAGCAAAAACACAGGUCUAUGCAAAACCGUAAGGUGAGGUAUAUGGGCUGACGCCUGCCCGGUGCUGGAAGGUUAAGAGGAGAGGUUAGAGCAAUCGAAGCUUUGAAUUUAAGCCCCAGUAAACGGCGGCCGUAACUAUAACGGUCCUAAGGUAGCGAAAUUCCUUGUCGGGUAAGUUCCGACCCGCACGAAAGGCGUAAUGAUUUGAGCGCUGUCUCAACAAUGCACCCGGUGAAAUUGAAAUACCAGUGAAGAUGCUGGUUACCUGCGCCAGGACGGAAAGACCCCAUGGAGCUUUACUCCA